ACAGCAGCCGCCACGGGAAUACGAAGGGGGCUAGCGUUGCUCGGAAUUACUGGGCGUAAAGGGCGCGUAGGCGGACAGUUCAGUCGGGGGUGAAAGCCCGGGGCUCAACCUCGGAAUUGCCUUCGAUACUGGCUGUCUUGAGUAUGAGAGAGGUGUGUGGAACUCCGAGUGUAGAGGUGAAAUUCGUAGAUAUUCGGAAGAACACCAGUGGCGAAGGCGACACACUGGCUCAUUACUGACGCUGAGGCGCGAAAGCGUGGGGAGCAAACAGGAUUAGAUACCCGUGUAGUCCCUGUCUCUUAUAC
rnacentral:rRNA from 1 species